rnacentral:miRNA from 1 species
AGCCAUACAUUAAACUAUUGAAAGUGACAACAUCCGGAGAAAUCUUUUUGACAAGCAUUUCAGAAUACAAAUUAUAGGCAUCAGCAAUCAGCAAUAAGUUUAUUUUUGCAUAAGCUGUCAAUGAUUGUGCUA